GAUGAACGCUGGCGGCGUGCCUAAUACAUGCAAGUCGAGCGAACGGACGAGAAGCUUGCUUCUCUGAUGUUAGCGGCGGACGGGUGAGUAACACGUGGAAAACCUACCUAUAAGACUGGGAUAACUUCGGGAAACGGUAGCUAAUACCGGAUAAUCUUUUGAAGCGCAUGGUUCAAAAGUGAAAGACGGUCUUGCUGUCACUUAUAGAUGGAUCCGCGCUGCAUUAGCUAGUUGGUAAGGUAACGGCUUACCAAGGCAACGAUGCACAGCCGCCCGGAGAGGGUGAUCGGCCACACUGGAGCUUAGCCACGGUCCAGACUCCUACGGGAGGCACCAGUAGCGAAUCUUCCGCAAUAGGCGAAAACCUGACAGAGCAACGCCGCGUGAGUGAUGAAGGUCUUCGGAUCGUAAAACUCUGUUAUGAGGGAAGAACAUAUGUGUAAGUAACUGUGCACAUCUUGACGGUACCUAAUCAGAAAGCAACGGCUAACUACGUG
rnacentral:rRNA from 1 species